UAGGAGAUCAUCUUGUGAUGUUUGAGAAUUUGUAAUGAAGACUUAGAGGAGGAUAGAGUCUUACUACUGUUGAGUAAUCACACCCUGAAAGCAUUGAGUGGGGAGCUAUUGUACAAAGCCUCCUGGCUUUAUGCUGUUUCCCAACUCCCCAUUUUGUGGCACUACUAUUACUGGCAUAAUUGCAUCCUCAGACCACCUAGAGAUGUGCCCUUGUUGCAAAAUCCAUUAGAACAUCACAACACUCUGCCCCUGGGACAAGGACAGAGGAUUCCAGCAAGGCUUGAUAUCACACUUGGUGAGUGGAAAAAAAAAACAUGGACGUUUUCCUCUUCUUACUUUGCCCUCCAGGGAUACUAUUGUCUUGCACUGAUGGGAAAAAUAUACACUAACUUGCCCAGAUGAAGAGAUUUUGGAAGAAGAAAAUAAGUUCAUCACAUUUUAUGUCCAUUAACAUCUCAAA